CGGCGGACGGGUGAGUAACGCGUGGGUAACCUGCCUCAUACAGGGGGAUAACAGUUAGAAAUGGCUGCUAAUACCGCAUAAGACCACAGUACUGCAUGGUACAGUGGUAAAGACUCCGGUGGUAUGAGAUGGACCCGCGUCUGAUUAGGUAGUUGGUGGGGUAACGGCCUACCAAGCCGACGAUCAGUAGCCGACCUGAGAGGGUGACCGGCCACAUUGGGACUGAGACACGGCCCAA
rnacentral:rRNA from 1 species